CAUGUAUUAGGUUGGUGCAAAAGUAAUUGCGGGUUUUGCCAUUACUUUCAAUAGCAAAAACCACAAUUACUUUUGCACUAAC
ensembl:miRNA